rnacentral:antisense_RNA from 1 species
UUUGAUCGAGCCCAGCAGCAGCGGCCGGUCCGCCGGCCGGUCGCGGCCGUACGCGGCGAUCAGCGCCUGGGCCUC